CGCAUUUGGGUGCGUCUUUGGAGUGUGAUUGGUCCAUAGAGAUCGGUUUCGUCUAGAAAGGUUACAGCUUUUGUCAAAAUGGACUUUUCAUAGCAGGUUUAAGAAAACUGGUAUAGCAGUUACUUCUCUGUCUCCUGUUCCACAUCUCACCACCAACCACCUUGCUCUGGAUAUCACUCACCACCAUUACCUUGGAUUCCCCUCUGGACCGGUUCCCCUGUUCUACUCAGCCAACUCCAACCUCACUCUACACUCCUGGUUUUUGCAACUCACCUGAGCUACCCCAGUUCUGCACUCCCCAUUUCUCUGUGCUCAAUAAACCUUUUUGUGCAUUCA